UAGAGAGAGCAAUUGCCUCUUGUCCCUUUCCCUAUCCCGUCCAAAGUCGGUUGCACGAAAAGAACAAGGCGAAGGAAAUUCCCGAUUCUCUAAAAUAGAAACAAGCAGGCAAGUUGCGUUUUAUUUUCUUGAAAAAAAUCUCAGUCUCCUGAAUUUCUAUGAAGCCAAAUGUGAAUUUUCAGUUCUUAGUGAUACGUGUGGACCAGCGAGCAAGCAAGAGAUGGAUAACGGAAUAGGAUUACAAACCCCACAAGCGUCCGGGACAAGUGGGUACAUCCAGACCAACAAGUUCUCUGUCUAGCCAAAGCCGGCCCGGAUGGCUGAAAAUGCCAGCCGAUUGGGGGCGGAUCAGUGUACAAUCAGCUGGAAGCCCGAUAAGGAUUUGCUUGAGCAUGAUCGCGAACGUUGGAUUGAGGUGAAGCUCGUGAUGCUUGAAGACGAGCUUGUUGAUCAAGCUUACCCUAGCUGUGAAGUUGGAGGAGGCCAGGAAGGCUUUGGAAGCCAAGGAAAAUGGCGAAUAGGAAGUUUUGAACAACAGGCUUCAGUAGCUUACUCGGGGUUUUUAGAUGUAGAGAUGACUGAUAAGAGAAAAGAAAACUGAUAGAAGCAUUUAGAUGUAUGUAAUCGGAGUAAUGGCUUUGACCUUCGUGAACAAAGUGCUCUAGCUAGAGAGGAAUGAAAGAAA